GUACUCACUUUGGCAUCAAAUAUACUAACAUUGGAAUGAUACAGGGAAGAUUAGCAUGGCCCCUGCGCAAGGAUGACACACAAAUCUGUGAAGUGUUCCAUAUUAAA
rnacentral:snRNA from 1 species